rnacentral:rRNA from 1 species
GGUUAAGUGACUAAGCGUACACGGUGGAUGCCUUGGCAGUCAGAGGCGAUGAAGGACGUAUUAACUUGCGAUAAGCCCAGAUUAGGUAGUAAAAACCACUUGAGUCUGGGAUUUCCGAAUGGGGAAACCCACUUACAUAAGUAAGUAUCGUUAUGUGAAUACAUAGCAUAACGAGGCGAACCGGGGGAACUGAAACAUCUAAGUACCCCGAGGAAAAGAAAUCAACCGAGAUUCCGAAAGUAGCGGCGAGCGAAAUUGGACUAGCCCUUAAGCUUUAUAGGCGUCAGGUGAACAAGCUGGAAAGCUUGGCGAUACAGGGUGAUAGCCCCGUAACUGACGACGCAUAUUCAGUGAAAUCGAGUAGGGCGGGACACGUGAUAUCCUGUCUGAAUAUGGGGGGACCAUCCUCCAAGGCUAAAUACUACUGACUGACCGAUAGUGAACCAGUACCGUGAGGGAAAGGCGAAAAGAACCCCUGUGAGGGGAGUGAAAUAGAACCUGAAACCGUGUACGUACAAGCAGUAGGAGCAGGCUUUGUCCUGUGACUGCGUACCUUUUGUAUAAUGGGUCAGCGACUUAUAUUCAGUGGCAAGGUUAACCAUCUAGGGGAGCCGUAGGGAAACCGAGUCUUAACUGGGCGUUCAGUCUCUGGAUAUAGACCCGAAACCAGGUGAUCUAGCCAUGGGCAGGUUGAAGGUUGAGUAACAUCAACUGGAGGACCGAACCGACUAAUGUUGAAAAAUUAGCGGAUGACUUGUGGCUAGGGGUGAAAGGCCAAUCAAACCUGGAGAUAGCUGGUUCUCCCCGAAAGCUAUUUAGGUAGCGCCUCGGACGAAUACUACUGGGGGUAGAGCACUGUUAAGGCUAGGGGGUCAUCCCGACUUACCAACCCUUUGCAAACUCCGAAUACCAGUAAGUACUAUCCGGGAGACACACGGCGGGUGCUAACGUCCGUCGUGGAGAGGGAAACAACCCAGACCGCCAGCUAAGGUCCCAAAUUACUACUAAGUGGGAAACGAUGUGGGAAGGCUCAGACAGCCAGGAUGUUGGCUUAGAAGCAGCCAUCAUUUAAAGAAAGCGUAAUAGCUCACUGGUCGAGUCGGCCUGCGCGGAAGAUGUAACGGGGCUAAGUAGUAAACCGAAGCUGCGGCAAUAUACUUUUGUAUAUUGGGUAGGGGAGCGUUCUGUAAGCGGUUGAAGGUGUGUGGUAACGCAUGCUGGACGUAUCAGAAGUGCGAAUGCUGACAUGAGUAACGAUAAAGGGGGUGAAAAACCUCCUCGCCGGAAGACCAAGGGUUCCUGUCCAACGUUAAUCGGGGCAGGGUAAGUCGACCCCUAAGGCGAGGCCGAAAGGCGUAGUCGAUGGGAAACGGGUUAAUAUUCCCGUACUUCUUACAAUUGCGAUGGGGGGACGGAGAAGGCUAGGUGGGCCUGGCGACGGUUGUCCAGGUUCAAGUGCGUAGGCUGAAGAGUUAGGUAAAUCCGGCUCUU